rnacentral:rRNA from 1 species
UGGGGAAUAUUGCACAAUGGGCGCAAGCCUGAUGCAGCCAUGCCGCGUGUGUGAAGAAGGCCUUCGGGUUGUAAAGCACUUUCAGCGAGGAGGAAGGUGGUGAGCUUAAUACGCUCAUCAAUUGACGUUACUCGCAGAAGAAGCACCGGCUAACUCCGUGCCAGCAGCCGCGGUAAUACGGAGGGUGCAAGCGUUAAUCGGAAUUACUGGGCGUAAAGCGCACGCAGGCGGUUUGUUAAGUCAGAUGUGAAAUCCCCGGGCUCAACCUGGGAACUGCAUUUGAAACUGGCAAGCUAGAGUCUCGUAGAGGGGGGUAGAAAUUCCAGGUGUAGCGGUGAAAUGCGUAGAGAUCUGGAGGAAUACCGGUGGCGAAGGCGGCCCCCUGGACGAAGACUGACGCUCAGGUGCGAAAAGCGUGGGGAGCAAAACAGGAUUAGAUACCCUGGUAGUCCACGCUGUAAACGAUGUCGAUUUUGGAGGUUGUGCCCUUGAGGCGUGGCUUCCGGAGCUAACGCGUUAAAUCGACCGCCUGGGGAGUACGGCC